UGAGAGGCAGUGGUGAGUAGCCUGGGUUGA
rnacentral:piRNA from 1 species